GACGAAGCGUCCAAACGUUGUUCGGAUUCACUGGGCUUACAGAGUUCGUAGGCGGCCUGGAAAGUUGGGCGUGAAAUCCCUCGGCUCAACCGAGGAACUGCGCUCAAAACUGCCAGACUUGAGGGAGAUAGAGGAAAGCGGAACUGAUGGUGGAGCGGUGAAAUGCGUUGAUAUCAUCAGGAACACCGGUGGCGAAGGCGGCUCUCUGGGUCGUACCUGACGCUGAGGAACGAAAGCUAGGGGAGCGAACGGG
rnacentral:rRNA from 1 species